rnacentral:ncRNA from 1 species
GAGGUAGAGGCGCGAUAUUUAUUAGUAACCACAGGGAGGUCGGAAGCCUGUGACGUGUGGAGAAAGGGGAUAUCGCCGAAGCUUUAGAUACCAAAAUCUAUGGCUGGGUCUAUAUCGAAUAGGUAUAGAACUGUCAUCAAAGUUAAAGCUCGAUACUUUGAUGUUGUGCUA